UACGUAGGGACCAAGCGUUGUUCGGAUUUACUGGGCGUAAAGGGCGCGUAGGCGGCAAUUCAAGUCAGUUGUGAAAUCUCCGAGCUUAACUCGGAACGGUCAACUGAUACUGUUUUGCUAGAGUACAGAAGGGGCAAUCGGAAUUCUUGGUGUAGCGGUGAAAUGCGUAGAUAUCAAGAGGAACACCUGAGGUGAAGACGGGUUGCUGGGCUGAUACUGACGUGAGGCGCGAAAGCUAGGGUAGCAAACGGG
rnacentral:rRNA from 1 species